UGGGGAAUAUUGCACAAUGGGCGAAAGCCUGAUGCAGCAACGCCGCGUGCGGGAUGACGGCCUUCGGGUUGUAAACCGCUUUCAGCAGGGACGAAGUGAAAAUGACGGUACCUGCAGAAGAAGCACCGGCUAACUACGUGCCAGCAGCCGCGGUGAUACGUAGGGUGCGAGCGUUGUCCGGAAUUAUUGGGCGUAAAGAGCUUGUAGGCGGUCCGUUGCGUCGGAAGUGAAAACUCAGGGCUUAACCCUGAGCCUGCUUUCGAUACGGGCGGACGUGAGGGAUGUAGGGGAGAACUGAAUUCCUGGUGGAGCGGUGGAAUGCGCAGAUAUCAGGAGGAACACCAGUGGCGAAGGCGGUUCUCUGGACAUUUCCUGACGCUGAGAAGCGAAAGCGUGGGGAGCAAACA
rnacentral:rRNA from 1 species